rnacentral:rRNA from 1 species
AAUGAACGUUGGCGGCGUGGAUUAGGCAUGCAAGUCGAGCGAGAACCCGCAAGGGGGACAGCGGCGAACGGGGUUGGACAACGUAGGUAACGUACCCUCGGGGCGAGGACAGCCACGGGAAACUGUGGGUAAUACUCGAUAAUGUUCCCAAUCAUGAUCGAAGGGGAACCAAUGGGUGUGAUUCCACCCGGGGAGCGGUUUACGCAGUAUCAGCUUGUUGGUGAGGUAACGGCUCACCAAGGCGAUGACGCUUAGGGGAUGUGAGAGCAUGAUCCCCACCACUGGCACUGAGACACUGGCCAGACACCUACGGGUGGCUGCAGUCGAGAAUCUUCGGCAAUGGACGCAAGUCUGACCGAGCGACGCCGCGUGCGGGAUGAAGGUCUUCGGAUUGUAAACCGCUGUCAGAGGGGAUGAAGUAUACGGGAGUUCUCUCCUGUAUUUGACAGAGCCUCAGAAGGAAGCACGGGC